GCUUGGGUAGCUCAGUUGGUUAGAGCGCUCGGCCUGGUGCUGAUGCACCGGUGUACGUGCUGAGAGGUCGGCGGUUCAACUCCGUCACCAAGCAUCA
rnacentral:tRNA from 1 species